CUCCAAGCCUAUGUGGACACACUGGAGGAGCGACUGAAAGUGGCGGAGAACAACUACGGUGAACAUAAGCAGUAGUGUCAUGGUAGAGAAAGUGGUCCUGGACCGGCUGCGCUCCCAUUGCCGGGGAGCACCCACCAAGUUUGCGAGAAGUCUGCUGAAGAAUGUGUUUUCAGAAGAUGAGCUCCGAGGGAAGUCCCUGUUCGGAAAGGGCUCUAUGCAAAUACGGACGGGCCUACUAAGGAGGCACUUGACCCAGUGCGGGUUAUGUCUCCGGGAAGUUCGACACAACUGUG